rnacentral:rRNA from 1 species
UACAGGGGGGGCAAGCGUUGUUCGGAAUUACUGGGCGUAAAGCGCGUGUAGGCGGCCAUGCAAGUCGGAUGUGAAAGCCCUCGGCUCAACCGGGGAACUGCGUCUGAUACUGGAUGGCUUGAGUUUGGGAGAGGGAUGCGGAAUUCCAGGUGUAGCGGUGAAAUGCGUAGAUAUCUGGAGGAACACCGGUGGCGAAGGCGGCAUCCUGGACCAACACUGACACUGAGGAGCGAAAGCCAGGGGAGCAAACGGG